AUUGUGUGUGUGCAUCAUCAGUCCUUUCUGCUUGAUGAGGUAUUGUCAGGUGGCUUUCCCCAGCAGCCAUCUUGGUUUAUAUUCCAGUCGUGGUAUAUGGGAGAUCCUGUUUCUUUAUGUUUGUUUCUUCUAGAAUUUAGUGUGGUCCUGUGUCAUAAAGUUUUGUUUGUCUUAUAAAUGGGAAAUGAUCUCUCACUGUAUUUUUUUAUAUUCCCUAAGUUCUAAUGAGGUUGGAAUUUAUUGGCCAUAUAGGUUUUCAUGUUGGUGAAUUGUCUGAUUCUGUAAUUUCCCUAUUUUUUUUGUGGAUUAUCUGUCCUUUUCUCAACUUAUUGAUAAUUGCUAAAUUCUGGAACAUAUCUUCAAAUACUAGACUUUUUUGAGAUGAUUUUUGUUCUAGAUUUCAUCUCAAAAUAAUUUCCCAGAAUAUUAAAAAUAAAAUAUCUCUCAUCUUUUAAUUGUGGCAAAAAAAAAAAAAAUGCCAUGUGUGGUGGUGUAUACCUAUAAUCUCAGUUACUCAGGAGGCUGCAUCAAGCCAGCUCUAGAUUUUGUAAAUUUUUUUUAUAUCAGGCAUGAUAAAGAUCUGAUGUAAUACUGAGGGAUCUUGGCUGGAGAUGUGGCUCAAGCGGUAGCGCGCUCACCU
rnacentral:lncRNA from 1 species